GCUACCGUAGUUUACUUAAACCGUAACCCU
rnacentral:tRNA from 1 species